UACAGAGGGUGCAAGCGUUAAUCGGAAUUACUGGGCGUAAAGCGUGCGUAGACGGUUAUUUAAGUCAGGUGUGAAAGCCCCGGGCUCAACCUGGGAAUUGCAUUUGAGACUGAAUAGCUAGGGUACGGUAGAGGGAAGCGGAAUUUCCGGUGUAGCGGUGAAAUGCGUAGAUAUCGGAAGGAACAUCAGUGGCGAAAGCGGCUUCCUGGACCAGUACCGACGUUCAGGCACGAAAGCGUGGGGAGCAAACAGG
rnacentral:rRNA from 1 species